rnacentral:guide_RNA from 1 species
AAACACAACAAGAAACGCAAGAGAAAAA